rnacentral:rRNA from 1 species
AGCGAACGCUGGCGGCAGGCCUAACACAUGCAAGUCGAGCGCCCAGCAAUGGGAGCGGCAGACGGGUGAGUAACGCGUGGGGAUCUGCCCAAUGGUACGGAAUAACCCAGGGAAACUUGGAUUAAUACCGUAUGUGCCCUUCGGGGGAAAGAUUUAUCGCCAUUGGAUGAACCCGCGUCGGAUUAGCUAGUUGGUGUGGUAAAGGCGCACCAAGGCGACGAUCCGUAGCUGGUCUGAGAGGAUGAUCAGCCACACUGGGACUGAGACACGGCCCAGACUCCUACGGGAGGCAGCAGUGGGGAAUAUUGGACAAUGGGCGCAAGCCUGAUCCAGCCAUGCCGCGUGUGUGAUGAAGGCCUUAGGGUUGUAAAGCACUUUCGCCGGUGAAGAUAAUGACGGUAACCGGAGAAGAAGCCCCGGCUAACUUCGUGCCAGCCGCCGCGGUAA